rnacentral:rRNA from 1 species
CCUAGUAACGGCGAGUGAACAGGCAAGAGCUCAGAUUUGAAAGGCACUUUUGUGCCGUUGUAUUCUGAAGUUAGGGUCCUGAGAAACGAUGCUUAAGUCUUCUGGAAAGGAGCGCCAUGGAGGGUGAUAGCCCCGUCUAGCAUUGACCUCAUAUAGGAUCUUAACAUGGAGUCGAGUUGUUUGGGAAUGCAGCUCAAAUGGGUGGUAUGCUCCAUCUAAAGCUAAAUAUCUGCGAGAGACCGAUAGUAAACAAGUACUGUGAGGGAAAGAUGAAAAGAACUUUGAAAAGAGAGUGAAAAAGUACGUGAAAUUGUUGAAAUGGAAGGGUAGGCCGCUAACCAUGUAGAGCCGUGUUUGGGGGGAAGAUAAAUGCUGUAGAAUGUAGCUCCUCGGAGUAUUAUAGAUGCAGUUCAUAUUCCCACCCGAGCGCGAGGAUCUCAGGUUCUACUAAAUGGUGGUCUACCAC